GCAUAUGUAAUUUGUCAUUUAUAGCGUAUGACAUUUGUUGUAGUUUGAAAACAAACAGUACCAGCAGGGAGCAUUUUAUAGGUCACAGAAAGUGGAGUUUGCACAUCACACUGUUAAAAGGGGAAAUUUUGAAUAGUCUAAUUCUCAAACUUGCCUUUCUUUUGGAACUUUUGCUCCAACUAAGCGCUACAAAACAAAACAAAGAAAACACAAACACACACACACAAAAGCGAUCCAUUCCGACAAGGCAGGGAAAGCUCACUUAUGAAAUUGCCCAAAGUGGCUGUGCUGAGAACACUGAUAAAAAUAAGCUUAAAGUUUUAGGUCAGCGGCAUCAAACGGUCGGCAACAGCGGCUGCAUAUUAAUAACAAACCGUAUCUUUUACCUGAAACGACUGACUGCAGAGUUGAAACGUACAAAGACUCAAGAAUGAGCUUGGACUGUGCCGCCAUUCACCCCCACAUCAACUGAUUUAAGUCAACUUCUAUUUUUAUCACGCUCUAAUCGUGGGGGCGGGAAAACAGUUUUAUCGGGUGUGAAGGCAAACAACAUUUUUUUUAAAUUCUGAUAAAAAGCAGCCAGACUGAGUAAAAAUGUGCAACAUUUGUCUGAAAGUACUGUCAAUGAAUAGGAUGAGAUGUUCAAUGGUUCACAACUUGGCUUUUUAUAAAGAAUUAUGAGGACCAGAAUGAAAUGAGGGAAAUGAAUGACUAGAAUAAAGAACAAUGUCAGUUUAUCCCUGUAAAAUACAAAGGCAGUAGAUAAACUGACUUUCAUAUUAAUUCAUGCAUCAUUUGCCUCUACCUCAAUAUUCAAAUCUGACAUUUGUUGUAAGAAAUAUGAAUUGUAGAAAAAGACAUUAGAAAAGGACUUUGAAACAAAAAUGGCAAUUUAUAGGAAAAUGGCAAUCAGAUGAUUUUCCAUGACCUAUAACUCAUAAUUUUUUUGCAUGAGGAAACACAUGUUUGCAAGUCGGCCAUUUUGGUUUGAAUCUGACAUUUUAACCAAAUUCCAGUUCUUGUACUAUGAACUGCAACCGUGUAAUUUUCCCACCUGUUUGUUUGUAAAUCAACUUUCACUUGAUUGAAUUUCUCAUGUGUUGGUCAUAAUUUGUGUUAUUAUUACCAAUACAGUAUACAAUCACAAUUGAGUUCCAUCCAAUAGAUGCCUCCCGCACACGGGCGCAGCUGAGUAAAUAAAUGUCCUCCUGGCUCCCCUUUGUGCCUCUAAUGCUUCCAAUUUCCAGCCAUAUUGUUUGUUUACAUUUGCAUCAUACUUCUGGGCCAGUGUUCGAUCCGGCUUGUGUUCCCAUGACAACUCGGGUCAGAGUCCUACUGUUACGACGAUAACAGCUUCUACUGAAUAAAUUUUAAAAAACAACAAAAAA